rnacentral:rRNA from 1 species
CGUAGGUGNACCUGCGGAAGGAUCAUUG